AUUCCAGUCCCCUAUAAUGAAGAGGACAUCUUUUUUGGGUGUUAGUUCUAGAAGAUCUUGUAGAUCUUCAUAGAACUGUUCAACUUCUGCUUCUUCAGCAUUACUGGUUGGGGCAUAGGCUGGGAUUAAUGUGAUAUUGAAUUGGCUUGCCUUGGAAUCAAAUGUAAAUCAUUCUGUCCACCCAGGGAAGG